AAAAACUGUCUAAGCUUGACCCAUGUCAAAACCCAUUAUUCAAGAUGUAACAGGCAAAUUUUUCUCAAGAUGGUACAAUAUGCCAAAAACUGAAAAACAUAUUUGAUCCCUUAUUCCAUAUUUUAUCACUUAUACUGAUUCUAGGAUAUGGACUUGGCCGAUAGAUCAGCUCAUCAUUUCCAGCUGCCCCAAAAAAUAGACCCAGCAGAGGUUGACUUUCUUUCACAUAUCUGAUUUGUUUAGUUUGGUUUUGCAAUUCAGCACCAUUCCUGAGCCAAUGCUGUUUAUAGUUCAAGCUUUGAUGGUCGCUUGGCUUUCUGACAUGACAGCUAUAUUAUAUUUAUGUACCCUUUGUUCAGAUUGAAUUGGGUACAUCUUUCAAUUACAUAGAACUGAGCUUGGAAGAUACUAGUUUAUUUUCCUGUGGGUUCUGAGUAUUUGGUUCCAGGGACGAAUACUCCUGCCCCCAUAUGUUCUAGCAUUCUAGAUCUGACUAGUGUACAAGUAGAUGGUGCCCUUCUUAAAGAAGAUAUUUUUCUCUUUUCCCAUUUCUUUUGGGUACUUAACUUUGUUUCAAAAUUUUGAUUAAACUCAAACGUCCUAUUCAUGUCGUCUGUUGGGGCCAUGAGUAUCGGCUGGUCUUUCCUUAGAUUUUUACUAUUUCUCCAUUUUAGUUUUAUUCCUAUUGAAGGUUUCUCUUUAAUAGUAAUAAGGUUUUCUGUGCAGUUCUCGUCAUCAUCUGGUGGAGGGAGUUUAAUCCCAGAAUCUUCUCCAUACCAGAUGUACGACAUGUUCUCUUGGCUCCCAUUAUACAAAUGUAUGCAAGUCUCUGUAUUUUCGUGAGUUCUUUUCGUUUCCUUAUUUGUUCUACUUUAUUGACCCAGACUAUGGGGCAAUAUGAGAGAAUAGGUCUCACCAUCAUGGUGUACGUACAAAGCAGGGUUUCAGGCCAGCAUCCUAGUGUUUCCUGCUAUUUUUCCGCACACCAUUAAGGCUCAUGCCCUUUCUUGAUGGUAGAGCUGAUAUGUUCCUUAAAUGCCAGUGUUUUGUCUAGUGUGACACCUCGGUAUUUGGCCUCAUUUUCAAUUCUAUCACAAUGUUAUUGAGUGUUUUCUUGGACUUAGAAUCUUUAGCCUCAAUAAUUACCAUCUGUUAUAAUUUAAUAUGAAAUUGGAAUAAAAUUUCACCAUGGUAAUGACAUUUUACAAUAUUUAAUAAUAUUGGAAACUUAAAAUGGUUGAUAAGUCGUUUUUUCUUAAAGUGGCGGGACUAAUUGGGGGCACCGGUCUGGUUGCAUACUCAGGCUAUAGAUUAUAUAAAUACAUUCAGUGGCGUAGAGAAGUUGCUGAGUUCCGCUUGAGAAAGAAAUUAGAUGAGGAGCGUGGGAUCGAUCGUACAUGGAGUGAGGAAGUAGAGUUUUUAGUAGCACAAGGUCAUGACCGCAAAAACAUUCAUAGUCAUAUGGCAUAAUGUAUUCAUUCAAUUCAGGGGGAACAACAAAAAUGAAGGGCAAAAUUACAGGGUUGUAGCAUAUCUAGAAGUGGACGUAGAACAUAGAAAUUGUAGGUAGAUAUAGUUUGUAGAAUUUGUAGCCCACCUCAGCACAAUCGAUUCCACUCGACUCAUCUAAAUUCUGCCUUUUUCUUCACUCAGCAAGUUGUCACGUCUCUGAAUGUUCCUUUCCUUAAUCUAUAGCACAGGAGCAAUCAGGUUUGGUCCCUCCAGUUAGUCCUAAAAGUAGAAGAAGAGGAGUUGAGUUUUCUGAUCCCAAUAGGGGGUCAGAAAAAAAAAGAAUAAGACAAGAAAAGAAAUUUUAAUGGUUUCUUUCCCACUGUAUAUGAAUGCAAUGCCCAAAAGUUCAACAAAGGAAGAAACUAGGAACAAAGGGCUGGUGACGAACUUAAUGUUCUUAUCAUCAUAUUAAUUUACAAAAACUGAAAUUGAACAAUCAUUGCAUGUUUAAAGGCAACUGCAAAUCACAAGAAUUUUGAUAUGGAGAUGGCAAGCAGAUUAUGACAUUAUUUUAAACUACAGUCCCCAUCAGAAUUUCUACAUAAUGAAGAUUGUAUACACUUGUGGCCAACAUAAUCAAUUAUACAUUUAAAUUCAUGAUAGUCUUCAUAAUUCAUUCAUCAUUUUGAUUCUAGAAUGGUUAUUUGAAUGUCACUUUACACACAACACGAUUUUCUGCCGAAUACCAAAAAAUACCAAAAAGUAAUAUGUUCAAUUACAGAUGACGAAUAAAUAAAAUAAAUGUUAAUAAUAAAUUCACGAUUUAAUCAGUUUAAUAUACUGAAUUGAUAUAGAUGUGGCAGACAAAUUGCAACAAUGUUAAAUCUACAUUCUGAUAUUAACCAAUGCAAAUAAUACAUGUAUAAAAAUUAUAACGUGCAAGUGUAAAAACAUUUUAGAACAAUUUCAUAAUUAGAUUUAUAUAUAACAAUAUUGGAUUGGGUUUGGCCAAUAGAUCAGCUCAUCAUUUCCAGCUCUCCCAAAAAAUCACAUAUUAAUGAAGAUUUACACUAAUACUAUGUCGUUAUGGAGAAGAAAAUUUUACAAAAAGUCAAUAUAAUUUAUUAUUCUCAAUGUUGUUUUUCAUUUAUGAUGUCUAUAUUAAUACCAAAAACUCUCUGUAUUAACUGUAUUAAUCUCUAUGUUAAUACUGAUUAGUCUGCU